rnacentral:rRNA from 1 species
UACGUAGGGUGCAAGCGUUAUUCGGAAUUACUGGGCGUAAAGCGUGCGCAGGCGGUUUGGUAAGACAGAUGUGAAAUCCCCGGGCUUAACCUGGGAACUGCAUUUGUGACUGCCCGGCUAGAGUGUGCCAGAGGGGGGUAGAAUUCCACGUGUAGCAGUGAAAUGCGUAGAUAUGUGGAGGAAUACCGAUGGCGAAGGCAGCCCCCUGGGAUAACACUGACGCUCAUGCACGAAAGCGUGGGGAGCAAACAGG